AAAUAUUUAUAUUUAUAUUUAUACAAUCUACUAUCAAAAUAUCCAUUAAAUUAUAUUUUAUAUAAAUAUUUGUAUCGUACAAUACAACUUAAAUUUAGUAUAAUAUUUUAUAAGAUAAACUUCAAAUUGCUACCCAUGGUAUAGCUCAUUUUCACUUUGCGACUUUGUAGUUCCAAAAGAUUACUUUGUUCUUAUUUGAUUUAGCUCAUAUUUAUUUUGCCAUCCCAUAGUUUAAAAAAAUUCACCUUCCCCUUAUGAUUUAGCUCAUUUUUUAUCUUGCUAUUACGUGAUUUUUUUAAAAAAAUUUCACUUCAUUACCCUAUUUCAUAUAGUAUAUUUUUGGUAAAAUAAAAAUUAAACUAUUUAGGGGCCAAAGUGAAAUUUUUUCAACAACUAGGUGACAAACCGACAAUAAUGACCCAGACCGCUCUGCUAUUAGUAAGCCCCUAAAGUGCAGUGUAUGUAGUUUACUUUGGACAAAAAUUUUAUGGGCAUCGUGCCCAAACAAUUUA
rnacentral:lncRNA from 1 species